UCGCUGCGUCUUUCAUGUUACCCUUUGUC
rnacentral:piRNA from 1 species